GGAUGUGAGGGUGAUCUGGCUGCGACAUCUGUCACCCCAUUGAUCGCCAGGGUUGAUUUGGCUGAUCUGGCUGGCUAGGCGGGUGUCCCCUUCCUCCCUCACUGCUCCAUGUGCGUCCGUCCCGAAGCUGCGCGCUCAGUUGAAGAGGACGACCAUCCCCGAUAGAGGAGGACCGGUCUUCGGUCAAGGGUAUACGAGUAGUUGCGCUCCCCUGCUAGAACCUCCAAACAAGCUCUCAAGGUCCAGCUUUUUCUGCUUUUGUGGUGCUGAGGAAUUGAACUCAGGGCCUCACAUAUGCAAGGCAUCUCUACCACUAAGCCCCCUU
ensembl:misc_RNA 7SK 7SK RNA